rnacentral:rRNA from 1 species
GAUGAACGCUAGCGGCAGGCCUAACACAUGCAAGUCGAGGGAGGGGCUUUCGGGCUUCGACCGGCGUACGGGUGCGUAACGCGUAUACAAUCUGCCCUUCACAUAGGGAUAGCCCGAAGAAAUUUGGAUUAAUACCUAAUGGUAUAUAGAGGUGGCAUCACCUUUAUAUUAAAGCUGAGGCGGUGAAAGAUGAGUAUGCGUUCUAUUAGCUAGUUGGAGAGGUAACGGCUCCCCAAGGCGACGAUAGAUAGGGGUUCUGAGAGGGAUAUCCCCCACACUGGUACUGAGAUACGGACCAGACUCCUACGGGAGGCAGCAGUGAGGAAUAUUGGACAAUGGUCGGAAGACUGAUCCAGCCAUGCCGCGUGCAGGAAGACGGCCUUAUGGGUUGUAAACUGCUUUUGCAGGGGAAGAAUAAGGACUACGCGUAGUUUGAUGACGGUACUCUGCGAAUAAGCAUCGGCUAACUCCGUG